rnacentral:rRNA from 1 species
UACGAAGGGGGCUAGCGUUGCUCGGAAUCACUGGGCGUAAAGGGUGCGUAGGCGGGUCUUUUAAGUCAGGGGUGAAAUCCUGGAGCUCAACUCCAGAACUGCCUUUGAUACUGAGGAUCUUGAGUUCGGGAGAGGUGAGUGGAACUGCGAGUGUAGAGGUGAAAUUCGUAGAUAUUCGCAAGAACACCAGUGGCGAAGGCGGCUCACUGGCCCGAUACUGACGCUGAGGCACGAAAGCGAUGGGGAGGCAAACAGGGGAAU